rnacentral:rRNA from 1 species
AACGAACGCUGGCGGCGCGCCUAAUACAUGCAAGUCGAACGAGAAGGUGUAGCAAUACACUUGUACAGUGGCGAACGGGUGAGGAAUGCAUGGGUAACCUACCCUCGAGUGGGGAAUAACCAGCCGAAAGGUUGGCUAAUACCGCGUACGCUUCCGGGUCUCCGGACUCGGAAGGAAAGUCAUACCAUGGGUAUGACGCUCAAGGAUGGGCUCAUGUCCUAUCAGCUUGUUGGUGAGGUAACGGCUCACCAAGGCAACGACGGGUAGCUG